CAUUUGUUGGUUUUACAGCUGGAAGAAUUCGGAUAUACUUAUUGACCGAGAGAAGAGUCCAAAACUCAGGAGUGGAAAAUAACGAAGAAUGAAGAAAGGAAACAGGAAGAGGUUGACCUGAUUGAUGGAAAGGAGCUCCUCUUUCUCCAAAACCAGAAGGAAAAGGAAGAUUUAGAGAGCAGAGGAGGAUUACAGGUAAAAGUGCAAACAGCGAGAUGAAAGCUGACACAGUGGUUCUUUUAAAGACACAGCGGACAUAUUACUCUCAGGAAAACACGGCGUUGGGUGCAGAACAGAUCGUCACGAGAGCUGUGCAGAUGUGGGAGGUUUAGUGCGCCUUUUGUAAAAAUAUUGCUGUCCUAAACCCCAGAUCACGGUCUUAUGGCUAAAUAAAGAAAAUAGAGCAAACAACUGAGAGCCCAACAGCAGCAAGGACUCGGUGAAAAGCCCCGGCGUCCCCUCUGAUAGCACUCUCCAUAUUG
rnacentral:lncRNA from 1 species